CUUCCAUGAUGAAUUAAUCAAGAAUUCUGCAAUCCUGACAAUCUCCUACUUUUUGUGAGAUUGCAUGUUGACUCUUCUACACUUGAUCUGACC
rfam:Aspergillus niger ATCC 1015, whole genome shotgun sequence.